rnacentral:misc_RNA from 1 species
UCCGGUUUGACACCGGCAGUCUCGCUAGAGUGCACGCCAUGACGCGUUGGCAACUAACGACAGGGGUUGCGCUCGUUAAGGGACUUAACCCGACACUUCACAGCACGAGCUGACGACAGCCAUGCAGCACCUGUGUAUGUUCCACCCAAAGGUGUCACUGAAGUUUCCAACAGCUAAUCCAUACAUGUCAAGCCUAGGAUAAGGUUCUUCGCGUUGCCUCGAAUUAAGCAACAUGCUCCACCGCUUGUGUGAGCCCCCGUCAAUUCCUUUGAGUUUUAGCCUUGCGACCGUACUCCCCAGGCGGCACACUUAAUAGUUUUCCUUCGGCCGAGACAGCGUCAGAGCUGCCCCGACCUAGUGUGCAUCGUUUACGGCGUGGACUAC